CUUAGUCCAACCCUCAAAUUACAUCAAACAAUACUAAAACCAUAAAUCACCCUCCAAUCCAAACCUAAAGAGCUUGACAUUUCAAGAAUUCUACACCCGAUGCUUAAACCAACCAAACCAAGUUCAAACUGACCCCAAAUUUUACACACGAGUCACAUUCACCACUAUAGAGUUACUCUAACUUUCAGAAUCAGAUUUUAACCCCGAUAUCAAAAUCUCACUAUCGAUUCGAAAUCUUCAAAAUUUAAACUUUCUGUUCCAAGCCUAAAUAAGCUACGGACCUCCAACACACAAUCCAAACAUGCCCCUAAGUCUGAAAUCACCUAAUUCAGCUAACGGAAUCGACAAAAAUUCAUUACGAGUCCGUCUUCACACUGCUCCGACUACUAAUCACAUUAUAAAGCUUAAACUCUCAUUUAGGGACUAAGAUUAUUUUAUAAGUUAUUUGAUGGUGUGAUACGGCUAUGAGCCAUGAGAUUGUAAUUUGAUGGUUCGAUACGGCUAUGAGCCAUAAUGUUGGGGCAUUGUGUAUGCCUUUGUAUAUCACCCGAUCAUUGUGUAUGCUUCUUGAUAUCUAUUCCAGGCACUGUGUAUGCUUCAGUGAGACUUUUAUAUGCUCUGUUACAUAUUUGAGGCAUUGUGGUGCCAUUGUGAACUCGUAAAAGUGUUGGUUAAUUUCUUACACUACAGCUAUGACAAGUCCUUAGUGUGUCCGUGAUAAGAUAUGUGUACUUUUGUUGGUUAAUUCUUAUUAACUCUGUUGAUACAUAUAUAUUGAGUUAUUGUAUAGUCAUCGUAUUUAUUAUAUUGUUUUUGUUGUGGUUUUUUAUAUUUCUAAGACUUAUUCCAGAGGUAUUCAAAGUGGCGGGUCGAGGAGCUUACGUGGUUAUAUUUAUGUAUAACUCACUCCUUAUUUGCAUCUCUAUGCAGAUACCAUUUUGGGAGAUUGAGCUACUGGAUGACGAGUUGUUAGAGUGGAUCCUAUUGCUGAGAUGAGCCAUCAUAUUGUUCGUGGGAGACUUUCGUUUUAGUUUUAUCUAGUUCAUGUUAGUUAUUUCUUUUUUUUUAGGGUUUGCAUACAUGUCAGUAAAACGCAUAUUAUUCUGUAGAUGCUUUAUAUUCUUAAAAUGAGAUUUGGGAUAGAGUUUUAUUAUUUUAGUGAUUAUUGAUUUUUCCAUUAAUUGGCAAAAAUAUUGGGUGAUAACUACUUGGUCUCUAAUUAUUAAUAAUUCUUUUAGGUCUGCACUUAUUUUUCUCCC
rnacentral:lncRNA from 1 species